GGGUGGUAAUGCCGGAUGUUCCAGUUGAUCGCAUGGUCUUCUGGGAAAGCUUUCGCGGUAUGGGAUGGGGUCGCGUCCUAUCAGCUUGACGGCGGGGUAACGGCCCACCGUGGCUUCGACGGGUAGCCGGCCUGAGAGGGCGACCGGCCACAUUGGGACUGAGAUACGGCCCAGACUCCUACGGGAGGCAGCAGUGGGGAAUAUUGCACAAUGGGCGCAAGCCUGAUGCAGCGACGCCGCGUGAGGGAUGGAGGCCUUCGGGUUGUAAACCUCUUUUAUCGGGGAGCAAGCGUGAGUGAGUUUACCCGUUGAAUAAGCACCGGCUAACUACGUGCCAGCAGCCGCGGUAAUACGUAGGGUGCAAGCGUUAUCCGGAAUUAUUGGGCGUAAAGGGCUCGUAGGCGGUUCGUCGCGUCCGGUGUGAAAGUCCAUCGCUUAACGGUGGAUCCGCGCCGGGUACGGGCGGGCUUGAGUGCGGUAGGGGAGACUGGAAUUCCCGGUGUAACGGUGGAAUGUGUAGAUAUCGAAAAAAAAACACCA
rnacentral:rRNA from 1 species